GAUCCCAAAGAGAUUUUGAUGACAGUAUUACAAAACUUAGGAAAGAACCCAAAGAAGAAAAUAUUACAAAAUAGAUACAGUAUGAAAUUGUCCCAAGCAGGAAUCUACUCUGUAAAUACACGUCUAUAAAUGGCACAAGCCACCAUCUAACAGCUGGGCCACUCUCUGGGGACCAACAGCUUGAGUACAAAAUGGGGAGAGGUUGCAGAAGGAAGGUUAAUUCUUUCUAGUCCCAUGGGGCUGAUUAUAGUGCCCUGCAGAACUGUAAAGGGCUAACAGAGUAUGGUAUGUUUUAUUUUUACCUGCACAAAUUAUUUGGAUUACCUUGUGGGAAAGCUUAAGGAGAAAUUUAAUGUCAAGCAAAUAUUAUGAUAAAAGGAUUGGAACAUUAAAUCAUGCUUAGAAAUAGAAUGCAAAUACAUUGUUUGAAAGUUGCAAAAAAAAAUAUUUUUGAAUUAUUGCUAUGUUAUAUAUCAUAUACUAAAAAUUUAAAAACACUGUAGUUUUAAUAAUCCAAUUACUUUUUUCCAUAUGUAUAUAGCUAUGGUUUCACAUAUACAUUAUGAUUUAGAACCAAUAAAUGUGUUGGUAAAUGUAAGGUUAUCAGGCCAUUUAUGAUUCUGGAUACUAGAUUUUCUAAAAGUAUAAUAUUUCUCUGCUUUUGAUUUAGUUUAUCUAAUCUUAAUUUGUAUUCAUACCAUACAUCAGUCUUCCUAAAUCAUGGAAAUUCUGAUUGACCUUAUUUAAAAAAUAUUCUUGGGAUGAAUUUGAAAAGCUAGAAUGAUAAAAUUAACACGAACAUAAUCAAGGCAUUCAUUUCGGAUGUCUCAUAUAAAAAUGAAUCAUAAAUGUGUAUUUUCUUAUCAGGAAAAUGUAUUACAUGUGCAUACAUUUUAAUGCCAACUUAAUAUUGGUCUUUCUUUUCCGCAUGUUUGCAAAUCUCUCCUCAUUACCUCUCACACUGUUCUCAGAUGCAUUUAGACGGCAAGGAAGAAAGAUUAGACUGUACGGUGGAUUAACUUUUCUCAAGGCCCAGAAGAAAUUUAUGACCAAGGCCUCAAAUACCAGAGCAAACCUGUACUUCUGAAAGGGUAGACGUGAUAUUGGACCAUGUGAUACGUCAAAAGAGAGAUAAUCAAGAAUUCAGAGAUAUGAAUUCUAAUCCUAUAUCAACCACUUGCUUAAAAUAUUCCAUUAAUAAUGGAUGGUUCCUUGGAAAUUGGGUAAUACUGAUCAUUGUUGCUCUCUUAAAAGUCUCUGACUUGCCUUCUGUCACUGUAUACUCCUGGUUCUUUGCCUAUUUAUCUCUUUCUCUUCCUUUCUCUCUCACACAUAUCUGUUUAUAAUUUGUCAUUACUACUGUGAAAACCACAUUACUACUGUGGUUUUAUGUAGUAUACUUAUAUGAAUUUAUCUAUGAGUGUGUCUAUCUAUCUAGCUAACUAUCUCUUCCUUGAAUUCUCUUGUAAACUCUAAGAAUGUAUUUCCAAUUGCCUCCAGUCCCAUAUAAUAGUACCAAUACUUACAUACAUUUAUCCGUGAGUAUGUCUGUCUGUAUAUCUAUCUCUUCCUUGAAUUCUCUUCUAAACUCUAGGAAUGCACUUCCAGUUGCCUCCAGCCCCAUAUAAUAAUACCAACCAACAUAAACAAAGUUUCUAUGACAACUAAACUCAUCAUCUAUCUCCCUGCCCAACAGUCCCUGAUUCAUCCUACUAUGUUUCUAAUUUAUCCAGAUUCAAAGUCACUUUCUCAACACUUUCAGUGCACAUCGAAUAAAAUGAAAAAUCCCAUGGAUUUAGUUCCUAAGCCCUUUGGAAAUUUUGUCUUGCUCCUUUCAAUAUUAUCCUUACCGGGGACUCCUUUUCCAGUACUGUUCUAAUUGUCUGUCUGAUCGUCACAUAUCCUUUCCUAUAAAAAAAAAAAAACACUUUGUAUUUAUAUACCAUAUUAAUAUUUCCAUAAUUAUGAUUAUGUUUCACCCAUCUUCAAAACUUUGAAUUUCCGUACUACCUCAAGAUUACAAUAUAAAUUCUUAGGCUAAUGUCAAAUUUCCUUUCAACCUUAUCUUUGCCUUAUAAGCUUUUGUCACUACCACUCUUUUUUCAUCUCCACUUAUCAAAUCUCCACAGCUCUAAACCAAAACCUCCAUGAAGUUAGAUAGAAAAACACUAGAGUGAGAAAUAAUCUGUCUAAUCUGAACUGCCAGAAGGCUUUGCCUAUAUCUUUCUUAUGGCAUCUAUCACAAUAGUCCUUGCAUAAUUUAUAAGUCUUUCUCUGCAUAGGAAGGAAAAUUAUUAUGGAAGGCUUCCAGUGGGAAAUGAUAAUUUAGCUGAAUAUUGAAUGGCGGCUGAAAUUCAACAUACAGAGGAAACUGAUGAAAACACAUUGGAAGCAGAGGCAACAAUACUUGUAAAUGGAUCAGAAUGGUAUACUCUGCUACCUGGAACUGGAUUUAGGUGGCUUAUACAUGUGUAUGUGGUAGGAAUUGAUAUAGAACUGUAAGCCGGUAGCUAUAGUGAAAUGACUUUGUACCUCUUACUAAGAAGUGCACACUUCAAGCUGAUUAAGUGCUAUUUGAACAAAUUUUGAAAUCUCAUGAUCAAUAGUGGUAUUUAGGAAUAAAUAUGAAUAGUUUAGCUUCAUAAUAACCAUACUAAUGGUGAUAGAAGGAUGAACAAAAUUAGAAUUUAGGAAUUAUUGUUUCCAAUUUCCCUUGUACCCUGUGCUAUCUCUACAUGUUGUACAUUUCCAUUUUCAGGAUUUCAUCCUCUCUACUCUUCAUAUUUCUAACUAUUAGCUGCAGGAACCUAUAUGAAUAGUGUGUAUGGGAUAUAAAAUCCAGGUUAGCUCUGUGACACCACAUGCAAGAAUCAGGAGGAUUUCCUGAAAUGCAUUGCUAAUAAUGGAAGUUCUGCUCCUACUUGCUUCUUCCUAGAAGCACCUUUUCAAAAUCCUGCCUCCAUUUCUAGUCCAGAAUGGUUUUACCUACAGAUAUUGCAAAAUGUAUAGCUCGUAUAGGAGACAAUAAAAAUGGAGAGGACACAUCCAGUCAUUAUUGGUAGCCAUGAUAUGGCUGUUAAUCUUCAACCACCCUGUGUUAGGACUCCUGAUAGACUGACUAAGAGAUGAAUCUCUUUUAUUACAUAUAUCUUUAUGAUUUAUAAGAUUUUUUCUGCACAAAAAACUAUAUAGCUGACAAGAAAUUUUAUAUUUCAUAAAGUUACAUCUCAAACUUUUCACAUUUGCUCUUGAACUUCAGCACAAACUCAGCAAAAUUCCUUUUUCCAAGGUCAAAUGAAGUGCACCUUUGAAUCCCAUCCAUAGAUUUUUUUGAGGUGACUUUAUGUACUUUAAUUUCAUUUUUAUUAUCUUGCUCUAUUUUUUUCUGUUCAUAUUUUUGGCAUGUUUUAUAUAUAAAUUAUAUGUUUUAGAGAAGAUGUAUUGAGAUAUACUACCAUAAAGACAUACAACAGCUAGUUAUGCAAAUGUAGAAAACAAUGCUGUUAUUGGUCAUUUAUUUCCAUAUCAGUUAAAGGAUGUAGGUGUAUCUUUUUAAAGCAUUGCUUUGUAAAUCUUAAAACUCCUAACAUCAAGUGGUUACAAAAUAGUUGGUUAGAUAUUCUCUCUUGAAAAUCGAUUUCUAACCUAAAAAAACUGGAAGACAGCUAUGUAUUCUACUUCAUGUUAGUUAUAAUCAAUACUUCCAUACUUCUACAAUACUAAAAUGUUAUUUUAAUUAUAUAUGUGCUUACUUUAUCAAGAACAAAAUCAAUUUUUUUUAAAGAACUCAAUGUUCUUUGUGUAACAGCCUCAAAUUGAUGGGAGAGAGUGAAUGGCCCAAAUAUGCAGAAAGAACUGAUUUUGUCUUUUUCUACCAAUGUUAGCACAGAAGACAUAAUGAAAAAUGAAUUAGAACAUAAAAUCUCAUAAUACAUUCAAGUGUUCUCUCAUCAAAUAAGAAUACAAAAGCAGUCUGACUGCUGACUAUGUUCCGUAUCACCAGACUCUUGAUUAUUUUUAUUUCCUUUAAGCAGGAACAGAUGUCAUGGGUGCACAGUAACUAUGAGAUAGAUAAGACCUUUUUAUUGGUCACUGUGUGAGAUAUUCAAGUGAACACCUGCCAUAACGAGAAGUAUCUGUACAUGUGGGUGCUAGGAAAAGAAAGAAAAAGAAAGGUGGUUAAUAAAACUCUGCAACAUAUCUCCCAAUUGCCAUUCCUGACAGAAACAUUGUUCUGUAACAGCAUUACUGUGAGUGGUUAAUAGUGAAGACAGUGGAGCCAAUUAUAGUUAGUCCAGUUGCCCUUAAACUGUGAGUGGAUACUAGUAUAUUACCUAAAGUUGAAUCUUAAUAUAUAUAAGGAAAGAUAUAAUGGAAAUACUAUCACUAAUAUGUGUGUGAGUAUAUGGAUAUGUGUGUAUUAUAUAAUGUGUAUGUGUGUAAACUCUGCUUUGAAGAUGAUAUAACUCCUUUUAUCAGUAAUUGAACAGUGAUGGUUGUAGUUAUACCUCUAGUAAAGAAAUGGUAGCUAUUGUAAUAGCAAUAGCUAAUAUAUGCAUAAUUAUUUUUAGCUUUUCAGUUUUUAAGACAGUUUUCUUUUUCAUGAUCCUCAUCCUCACAAAGACUCUGUGUCUUCCACACAGUAGACACUUAUAAAAUAAGAAAUGAAUAAAUUUAUGAACAAGGACGGAAUAAAUACACACAAAGCACAAUAGACUGUGCGAUUGAGUUAUCCUUGAUUUGCAGAUGAGGAAACUGAGCUUGAAGGAGAUGAGGGUUUCAUGAAGGUGACUUGGAAAAAUGAGUAGCAAGGCCAAAACUAAUAUUUAGGUCUGAAUAUACAGCAUGUUGCCCAUGUGUUUGAUUUACAACAAUUUUUAAAACUACCGUUUAUCAUUCCAGUGUAUACACACUGCAUGAGCUUCCUUAGUUCUUUCAUAAUCAGUGUGAUUAUUGGUCUUGAGCUUGGAAGAAGACACUUCAAAAGCUAAAUAUUUUUCCUCCAAGUUUAGAAUAUUAAGAAGGGAAAAGUCAAGACAGUAUAAGAAGUACCAGCACCUUGUACUUGGGUACAGGAAGAUAAAGUUGAGUAUUGCACACCAAAUAUAAAAUGUAAUAUUAUCCAAAUAAAACACAAGCAAAAU
rnacentral:lncRNA from 1 species